rnacentral:rRNA from 1 species
CCUACGGGAGGCAGCAGUGGGGGAUAUUGCACAAUGGGGGGAACCCUGAUGCAGCGACGCCGCGUGGGUGAAGAAGCGCCUCGGCGCGUAAAGCCCUGUCAGCAGGGAAGAAAAUGACGGUACCUGAAGAAGAAGCCCCGGCUAACUACGUGCCAGCAGCCGCGGUAAUACGGAGGGGGCAAGCGUUAUCCGGAUUUACUGGGCGUAAAGGGAGCGUAGGCGGACUUUUAAGUGAGAUGUGAAAUACUCGGGCUCAACUUGAGUGCUGCAUUUCAAACUGGAAGUCUAGAGUGCAGGAGAGGAGAAUGGAAUUCCUAGUGUAGCGGUGAAAUGCGUAGAUAUUAGGAGGAACACCAGUGGCGAAGGCGGUCUGCUGGACAGCAACUGACGCUGAGGCGCGAAAGCGUGGGGAGCAAACAGGAUUAGAUACCCCUGUAGUC